rnacentral:rRNA from 1 species
CAUGAUGGGAGCUAGCUUGCUAGAAGAAGUCAUGGCGGACGGGUGAGUAACGUGUAAAGAACUUACCAUAUAGACUGGGAUAACAGAGGGAAACUUCUGAUAAUACUGGAUAAGUUAGUAGUAGCAUUACUAAGUAAUGAAAGGUAGCAAUACGCUAUAUGAGAGCUUUGCAUCCUAUUAGCUAGUUGGUGGGGUAAAAGCCUACCAAGGCGAUGAUAGGUAGCCGGCCUGAGAGGGUGGACGGCCACAAGGGGACUGAGAUACGGCCCUUACUCCUACGGGAGGCAGCAGUGGGGAAUAUUGGACAAUGGAGGCAACUCUGAUCCAGCAAUUCUGUGUGUGUGAAGAAGGUUUUAGGACUGUAAAACACUUUUAGUAGGGAAGAAAGAAAUGACGGUACCUACAGAAGAAGCGACGGCUAAAUACGUGCCAGCAGCCGCGGUAAUACGUAUGUCGCGAGCGUUAUCCGGAAUUAUUGGGCUUAAAGGGCAUCUAGGCGGUUAAACAAGUUGAAGGUGAAAACCUGUGGCUCAACCAUAGGCUUGCCUACAAAACUGUAUAACUAGAGUACUGGAAAGGUGGGUGGAACUACACGAGUAGAGGUGAAAUUCGUAGAUAUGUGUAGGAAUGCCGAUGAUGAAGAUAACUCACUGGACAGCAACUGACGCUGAAGUGCGAAAGCUAGGGGAGCAAACAGGAUUAGAUACCCUGGUAGUCCUAGCUGUAAACGAU